rnacentral:rRNA from 1 species
GAUGAACGCUGGCGGCGUGCCUAAUACAUGCAAGUCGAGCGAACAGACGAGGAGCUUGCUCCUCUGACGUUAGCGGCGGACGAGUGAGUAACACGUGGAUAACCUACCUAUAAGACUGGGAUAACUUCGGGAAACCGGAGCUAAUACCGGAUAAUAUAUUGAACCGCAUGGUUCAAUAGUGAAAGACGGUUUUGCUGUCACUUAUAGAUGGAUCCGCGCCGCAUUAGCUAGUUGGUAAGGUAACGGCUUACCAAGGCAACGAUGCGUAGCCGACCUGAGAGGGUGAUCGGCCACACUGGAACUGAGACAUGGUCCAGACUCCUACGGGAGGCAGCAGUAGGGAAUCUUCCGCAAUGGGCGAAAGCCUGACGGAGCAACGCCGCGUGAGUGAUGAAGGUCUUCGGAUCGUAAAACUCUGUUAUUAGGGAAGAACAAAUGUGUAAGUAACUAUGCACGUCUUGACGGUACCUAAUCAGAAAGCCACGGCUAACUACGUG